rnacentral:misc_RNA from 1 species
GAUGAAGAACGCAGCAAAAUGCGAUAAGUAAUGUGAAUUGCAGAAUUCAGUGAAUCAUCGAAUCUUUGAACGCACAUUGCGCCCGCCAGUAUUCUGGCGGACAUGCCUGUUCGAGCGUCAUUUCAACCCUCAAGCUCAGCUUGGUGUUGGGACUCGCGGUAACCCGCGUUCCCCAAAUCGAUUGGCGGUCACGUCGAGCUUCCAUAGCGUAGUAAUCAUACACCUCGUUACUGGUAAUCGUCGCGGCCACGCCGUAAAACCCCAACUUCUGAAUGUUGACCUCGGAUCAGGUAGGAAUACCCGCUGAACUUAAGCAUAUCAAUAAGCGGAGGA